CUCGUAGGCGGUCUGUUGCGUCCGCUGUGAAAUCUCGGGGCUUAACCCCGAGCCUGCAGUGGAUACGGGCAGACUAGAGGUAGGUAGGGGAGAAUGGAAUUCCCGGUGUAGCGGUGAAAUGCGCAGAUAUCGGGAGGAACACCGGUGGCGAAGGCGGUUCUCUGGGCCUUACCUGACGCUGAGGAGCGAAAGCGUGGGGAAGCAAACA
rnacentral:rRNA from 1 species